AGCAUCCACCACAUCAGAACCACAGAGUGAGCUCCCUUAUUAUUGCACGGGAUGGCAAUGUCCACAUAGCGCAGAGGAGAAUCUGUGAGAUGGGAAGAG